GUUGUACAGCUGAUUUCAUCACCCAUGCAAAAAGCCCAGUACCCAAUAAUUAUUAUUUGUGCUUCUCUUCUUCCUCCCACCCUCCACCCUCAAGUAGACCCCAGUGUCUUUCAUUCCCCAAAAGCUAACAUUUUAAACCAGCCCAAAAUAUAAUAAUUUUAAUCUGAAGUGGCAUGUGAUUUCUGUUAAUGAUAAAAAAGAUAACAUUUGAAAAGGAGUCCUUUUGAUAACCCAUGUAUUAAGGACUAAAUGUUUGUACCUUCUCCCACCCCCAGAAUCAUAUGUGAAACCCUAACAACCAAUGUGAAUGUAUUUGGAGAUAGGGUCAUAAGCAGAUGGUAGAGUUUAAAUGAGGUCAUAAGGGUGGAGCCCUAAUCUGAUAGAGCUGUUGCACUUUUCAGAAGAGGAAGAGAUACUGGAACGUGUCUCUGUCUGUGUGCAUUCAGAAAGAAGGCCAUGUGAUACAGUUUGGAUGUUGCCUCCAACCAAAUGUCAUGUCAAAAUGUAAUCUUCAGUAUUGGAGGGGAGGCAUGGUGGGGGGAGAUUGGGUCCCCCCACCCAGUGGAGGCAAGUUUCUCAUGAAUGGUUUAGCACCAUCCCCCUUGGUACUGUCUUCACAAUAGUGAGCUCUCAUGAUAUUUGGUCAUUUAAAAGUGUGUAGCACUUCCCCCUUCACGUUCUCUUGCUCCUGCUCUGGCCAUGUGACAUGCCUAUUCCCUCUUCACCUUCUGGCAUGACUGUUAAGUUUCCUGUGGCCUCCCUGGAAGCUGAGCAGAUUCCAUCAUCAUGCUUCCUGUACAGUCUGCAGAACCAUGAGCCAAUUAAGCCUCUUUUCUUUAUAAAUUACCCAGUCUGAGGUACUUCUUUAUAGCACUGCAAGAAUGGACUAAUACGCUAUGUGAAGACAAAGGGGAUGUCUGCAAGCCAGGACGAGUGCGUCUACCAGAAACUGAGUUCUGCUGGACUUUGAUCUAGGACAUCCAGCCUCCAGAAUGGAAUGUGCCAUAUGUGGAGACCUGCAUGGAAAGGAACUGAGGAUGCUCUCUCACUAAAAGCUAGAAGGAACUGAGGCCCUCAGUCAACAGUCUACAAGACACUGAAUCUUGCCAGCAGCCAAGCAGUGAGCUUGAAAGCAGAUCUAUCAUCAGCUGAACCUUCAGAUGAGACCGCAGCCUAAGCAGAUACCUUGGUUGCAGCCAUGUGAGACAACCUGAAACAGAGGGCACAGCUAAGCCUCAGCCAGAUGGAGAGAGGGGAACCCGAGUCAAGGAAUGCAAAUGGCCUCUGGAAGCUGGAAAAAGCAAGAAAUGGAUUCUCCUUUAGAGCCUGUGGAAUAAAAUGCAGUCAUGCUGACACCUUGAUUUUACCUCAGUGAGACCAAUACUGGAGUAUGACCUUCGGAGCUGAAUAAAAUUAUACGUACACAUCUUAAUUUCUUGGGAUUUGAUUACUUCUUCUGCUUUGAAAUUAGACCAAGUUUAGCCUGCCUUUGCUAUUUUGGCGUAUCUCCAAUUCUUCAUGAUUUUCUCAUUGUUGCCUCCAUAUGAUGCAAAAUAUCCAACCUAGCCCUGACAUGAAAACUUAAUUGAAAGUAUCCAACAGUGGCGCAAAGGCCACAUAAGGACAGUGAGAAGGCAGCCACCUGCAAGCCAGGAAGAAAGGUCUCACCAGAUACCAACCCUGCCAGCAUGUUGAUCUUGGACUUCCAGCCUCCAAAACUGGCCUUCUGCUCACAUGGGCUUCCGUGCACCUGCUUCAGGAGACAGCAACACUUGCGCCCGCACCGCGGCAGGCUCCCAUCACCUGGUGGAUAUGCCGCGCCGAGUCUCAUCACACCUUAGUGAAGGAACACAUGGACCCAUAUGUUAGCGGAUGUAUUUACAUCGUUUUAUACAGAAAGGGGAAAUGGAGUCUUGCUCUGUCACACAUGCUAGAGUCCAGUGGUAUGACCUCAGCUCACUGCAAUCUCUGCCUCCCGGGUUCAAAUGAUUCUUCUGCCUUGACCUCCCUGGCAGCUGGGACUACAGGCCUGCACCACCACGCCUGGCAAAUUUUUUAAUUUUUUUUAGUAGAGAUGGGGUUUCACCAUGUUGGCCAGGCUAGUCUCGAACUCCUGACCUCAAAUGAUCUGCCCGCUUUGGCCUUCCAAAGUUCUGGGAUUAUAGGAGUGAGCCACCAUGCCCAGCCUGUUCUUAAGUCUCCUAGAACAGGGAUUCUGAAACACAAAACUCAUCUGGUGAGAAGAAUGAGAGCAAGAGAGGUUAAAUGGGUCGUUCAAGUUCAUAAAGUACUGACAGAAGAUGACCCUGAACUGUUCUCACUAUAUUAAAAGUCAGACAAGUAUUAUUAUUAUUAUUACUAAUAUAAGUAGCUCCAAUUUAUGUGAUUCUCAUGAUUUGGAGGACCUUACCUAUAUUAGCUUAUUUAAUCUACACAGCAAACCUAGAUGGUAAAUAUUUUCAUUGCCAUUUUACAGAGGAGGAACUGAGGUUCCUGAGGGUUAGGAAACUUGUAACAUGAACUCCAUACAGAUAUACAGAAUGAUAUAAACAAAUAAACAAAUACAUAAAUGUGGAAGAAGUAAAAGCUCUUCCUUGGAGUAAAAGGCCACCUAAUAAAUGAGGCAGGAAUGAUAAAAUUAGAGAAAUCAUUUGCAAACAUCACAGUAUUAAUUGCUUAAAGGAAGAAUUAUAAAUAGAUAAUAAAGCUAGUGGGUGAAACAUUAAUGGGACUAAGAUAUUUAUCUAGCCCCAAAAGUUUUGCUCCAUAAAAAUACUUACUUAGGCUGGGCAUGGUGGUGCACACCUGUAAUUCUAGCACUUUGGGAGGCCGAGGUGGAAGGAUUACUUGAGCUUAAGAGUUCAAUGGCAGCCUGGACAACAUAGUGAGACCGCAUCUCUAAAAAAAAAAUUAGCCAGGUGUGGUAGUGCGUGUAUGUAUUCUCAGCUACUCAGGAGGCUGAGGUAGAAGGGAUCGCUUGAGCCCCAAGUUGAGGCCACAGUGAGCUGAGAUUGCACCACUGCACUCCAGCCUGGGUUACAGAGAGUGAUCCUGUCUCAACAAUAAAAUAAAAUAAAAUGAAAAAAAUAUUUAUUACAAAUGAAAAAAAUGACAUGUUUACACUGGAGAGGCCUACAGGCAUCAUCUUAACCAAUGAUCAAAGUUAAUAUCUACACGAAUAGGACAAAUAAUAUCAUUUCCCUCCUGACCUCAUGCAUGUUUAAAACACAACAUAACUUCUUGGUUAUUUCUGUCAAGAGUGCAUAACCUGAAACUAAUCAUAAGAAACCACCAGAUGACCCCACGAUGAGAGGUAUACUAAAAAAUAACUAAGCUAUUAUUUUAUUUUAUUUAUUUUUUGAGACAGAGUCUUGCUCUGUUGCCCAGGCUGGAGUGCAGUGGCGCAAUCUCAGCUCACUGCAACCUCAGCCUCCUGGGUUCAAGAGAUUCUCCUGCCUCAGCCUCCCAAGUAGCUGGGAUUACAGGCUUCUUUUUGUAUUUUUAGUAGAGAGGGGGUUUCACCAUGUUGGCCAGGCUGGUCUCAAACUCCUGACCUCAGGUGGUCCACCCACCUCGGCCUCCCAGUUUUGGGAUUAUAUGCGUGAGCCACUGCACUCAGCCACCAGACUUUUUUUUUUUUCUUUUUACUUUUUUUGAGACAGCAUCUCCCUCUGUCGCCCAGGCUGGAGUGCAAUGGCACAAUCUUGGCUCACUGCGACCUCCGCCUCCCAGGUUCAAGUGAUUCUCCUGUCUCAGCCUCCUGAGUAGCUGGAACUACAGGCGCCCGCCACCACGCCCGGCCAGUUUUUGUGUUUUUAGUGGAUAUGGGGGUUUCACCAUGUCGGUCAGGCUGGUCUCGAACUCCUCACCUCAGGUGAUCUGCCCGACUCAGCCUCCCAAAGUGCUGGGAUUAUAGAUGUGAGCCAUCGUGCCUGGCCUAUUUUGAAAGCAACAUAUAAUCCAACUUUUUCUUUUGUUAUAAAGAGCAAUAUAGGAACAAGGAGUGAAACACCAAGGCAAUUUGACAGUUAAAUGGUAGAAGUAGAUCAGUGUUAAUUUCCUGAUUUUGUAAUUAUACUGUGGUUAUGUAACAGAAUGUUCUUGUUUUAGAAAGUACACAUUGAAUAAUCAAUGGUCAUCUUGUCUGUAACUUAAUUUCAAAUGUUUCAAUAAAAAUAUGUGUAUGUUUGUGAGUGAUAAAACAAAU
rnacentral:lncRNA from 1 species